UCCCUGGAUCUACCAAGGCAGUCUCGUAUGAAAUACAACAUACGACAGGGGUUGCGUUCGUUACGACACUUAAGUCGACGCCUCACGACACGAACUGACGACAACCAUGCAGCAGCUGUCACUGGUCCAGCCGAACUGACUCCGUAGUUUCCUACAGAUUCGACCAGGAUGUCAAACCCAGGUAAGGUUCUUCGUUUCGUAUCGAAUUAAACCACAUGGGACGCAGAUUGUGUGUUUCCCCGUCAAUUCCUUUGAGUUUUAGCCUUGCGGCCGUACUCCCCAGGCGGGAUACUUAACGCGUUAGCUUGCGCCACUCCCAAAUUGCUUCAGGAAUAGCUAGUAUCCAUCGUUUACGGCUAGGACUAC
rnacentral:misc_RNA from 1 species